AUUACUCAUGUUUUUACUUAUGGUAUUACUCAUGGUAUUACUCAUGGCAUUACUUAUGGUAUUACUUAUGGUAUUACUCAUGUUAUUACUUAUGGUAUUACUCAUGGUAUUACUCAUGGCAUUACUCAUGACAUUACUUAUGGCAUUACUUAUGCCAUUACUUAUGGUAUUACUUAUGGUAUUACUCAUGGUAUUACUCAUGUAUUACUUAUGGUAUUACUCAUGGUAUUACUCAUGGUAUUACUCAUGUAUUACUUAUGGUAUUACUCAUGGCAUUACUUAUGGUAUUACUUAUGGUAUUACUCAUGGCAUUACUCAUGGUAUUACUUAUGGUAUUACUUAUGGUAUUACUCAUGGCAUUACUCAUGGUAUUACUUAUGGUAUUACUUAUGGCAUUACUUAUGGUAUUACUCAUGGCAUUACUCAUGGCAUUACUCAUGGUAUUACUUAUGGUAUUACUUAUGGUAUUACUUAUGGCAUUACUCAUGGUAUUACUCAUGUAUUACUUAUGGUAUUACUCAUGUUAUUACUUAUGGUAUUACUCAUGGCAUUACUCAUGGCAUUACUUAUGGUAUUACUUAUGAUAUUACUCAUGGCAUUACUUAUGGUAUUACUCAUGGUAUUACUUAUGGUAUUACUUAUGGCAUUACUCAUGGUAUUACUCAUGUAUUACUUAUGGUAUUACUCAUGGUAUUACUUAUGGUAUUACUUAUGGCAUUACUCAUGGUAUUACUCAUGUAUUACUUAUGGCAUUACUCAUGGUAUUACUCAUGUAUUACUUAUGGUAUUACUCAUGUUAUUACUCAUGUAUUACUUAUGGUAUUACUCAUGGCAUUACUUAUGUUAUUACUCAUGGCAUUACUCAUGGCAUUACUUAUGGUAUUACUCAUGGCAUUACUCAUGGUAUUACUCAUGGUAUUACUUAUGGUAUUACUUAUGGUAUUUUUGUAGUUUGGCUUUCUUGAAGAAACAUUUCUUUCUUGAUUCUUGUUGUUCUGAGUUUGGACUCAUGGUUGAAUUCACUUAUUG
rnacentral:lncRNA from 1 species